CCGGCGACCGGCGCACGGGUGAGUAACACGUAUGCAACCUGGCCGUCACAGGUGGAUAACCGGAAGAAAUUCCGACUAAUACAGCAUAACACUCCUGAGGGACAUCCCUUGGGAGUCAAAGGAGGCAACUCCGGUGACGGAUGGGCGUGCGGCGCAUUAGGUAGUUGGUAGGGUAACGGCCUACCAAGCCGACGAUGCGUAGGGGUUCUGAGAGGAAGGUCCCCCACAUUGGAACUGAGACACGGUCCAAACUCCUACGGGAGGCAGCAG
rnacentral:rRNA from 1 species